rnacentral:rRNA from 1 species
UGAGGAACAUGACCUUCGGCGGGGGAUAGCCGGCCCAACGGCCGGGUAAUACCGCGUACGACCACUUGGGGACAUCCCUGAGUGGUGAAAGCAGCGAUGCGCCGAUGGAGUGCCUCGCGGCCUAUCAGCUAGUUGGUGGGGUAAUGGCUCACCAAGGCGACGACGGGUAGCUGGUCUGGAGAGGAUGGCCAGCCACAGUUGGGACUGAGACACGGCCCAGACCUCCCGUAGGGACGG